AACUUUCAAUAAUAGAUCUUUUAGUUCUAGCAUCGAUGAAGAAUAUAGCAAAAUAUAAUAAGUAAUAUGAAUUAUAGAAUUUAGUAAAUUAUUAAAUCUUUAAAUGCAUAUUGCGCCUGCUAGUAUUUUAGCGGGUAUACUUAUUCGAGCGUUA
rnacentral:rRNA from 1 species